UUUGUACUUCGUUCAGUUACGUAUUGCUGGUGCUGCUUGUCCAGGGUUUGUGUAACCCUUUUAACCUUUCUGUUGGUGCUGAUAUUGCAGAGUUUGAUCCUGGCUCAGAUUGAACGCUGGCGGAACGCUUACACAUGCAAGUCGAACGGUAACGAGGAGGAAAGCUUGCUUUCCUCUGUCGACAGUGGCGAACSGGKGGAGUAAGACAUCGGAACGUAUCCGCUCGUGGGGACAACUUCCCGAAGGRGCUAAUACCGCAUGAGAUCCGGGGAUGAAAGGGGGGACCCGCGAGGGCCUCUCSCSGRGGGAGCGGCCGAUGACUGAUUAGCUAGUUGGUAAGGUAAAGGCUUACCAAGGCGACGAUCAGUAGCUGGUCUGAGAGGACGACCAGCCACACUGGGACUGAGACACGGCCCAGACUCCUACGGGAGGCAGCAGUGGGGAAUUUUGGACAAUGGGCGCAAGCUGAUUCSCGCGUGUGGGAAGACGGCCUUCGGGUUGUAAACCACUUUUGUAGAGAACGAAAAGUCUGUUGAUAAUACCGAUAGAUGAUGACGGUACUCUAAGAAUAAGCACCGGCUAACUACGUGCCAGCAGCCGCGGUAAUACGUAGGGUGCGAGCGUUAAUCGGAUUACUGGGCGUAAAGGGUGUGCAGGCGGUUUUGCAAGAUGGAUGUGAAARCCCCGGCUUAACCUGGGGAAAGCCAUACAUGACUGCAAGACUAGAGUGCGUCAGAGGGGGGGAAUUCCAAGUGUAGCAGUGAAAUGCGUAGAUAUUUGGAAGAACACCGAUGGCGAAGGCAGCCCCUGGGACGCAACUGACGCUCAUACACGAAAGCGUGGGARCAAACAGGAUUAGAUACCCUGGUAGUCCACGCCCUAAACGAUGUCAACUAGUUGUUGGGAGGUAAAACUUUCAGUAACGCAGCUAACGCGAGAGUUGACCGCCUGGGAAGUACGGUCGCAAGACUAAAACUCAAAGGAAUUGACGGGGACCCGCACAAGCGGUGGAUGAUGUGGAUUAAUUCGAUGCAACGCGAAAAACCUUACCUACCCUUGACAUGGCAGACAACUCCUUGUAAUGAGGAGAGCUCGCAAGAGGAUCUGCACACAGGUGCUGCAUGGCUGUCGUCAGCUCGUGUCGUGAGAUGUUGGGUUAAGUCCCGCAACGAGCGCAACCCUUGUCACUAGUUGCUACGAAAGGGCACUCUAAGUGAGACUGCCGGUGACAAACCGGAGGAAGGUGGGGAUGACGUCAAGUCCUCAUGGCCCUUAUGGGUAGGGCUUCACACGUCAUACAAUGGUCGGAACAGAGGGCAGCGAAGCCGAGAGGCGGAGCAAAUYCCAAAAAACCGAUCGUAGUCSGAUUGCAGUCUGCAACUCGACUGCAUGAAGUCGGAAUCGCUAGUAAUCGCGGAUCAGCAUGCCGCGGUGAAUACGUUCCCGGUCUUGUACACACCGCCCGUCAAACAAUGGGAGUGGUGUUUACCAGAAGUCGUUAGCCUAACCGCAAGGAGGGCGGCGACCACGGUGAGCACCGUGACUAAUGUUAAGUCGUAACAAGGUAGCCGUACCGGAAGGUGCGGCUGGAUCCUCCUUUCAAAAGUUUUUUGCUUGAAGAUUUGAGUGUCCGCUCUUAUCGGCAGUCGAUAGAUUGAAGAGAGAAUAGGCCAAAGGCUAAGGGUCUUUAGCUCAGCUGGUUAGAGCACCGUCUUGAUAAGGCGGGGUCGAUGGUUCAAGUCCAUCAAGACCCACCAAAGUCUUUCAUGGGGGUAUAGCUCAGCUGGGAGAGCACCUGCUUUGCAAGCAGGGGGUCAACRGUUCGAUCCGUUUACCUCCACCAGAUUACUGAAAUAAGUGCUUAGUGAGUAUUUAUUUCAGGCAAUUUAGAAACCUGAAAAUUUUUUUUUUAAAAAAUCGGAAAUUUGAAUCAAUUGAAAACGUUUAUGGAAACGUAAACGGGUAAAGAUUGACGAGUYAUUAACAAAGCAAAACUUUGUGAGAAACUUGAAAGCGAAGACAUAAACAGCGUAAUGGGACAGCGUUUAGCGGUUGCUUGUAACGCUGCCGGGCAAUAGGCGGCAGGGUUAUAGGAUCAAGCGACUAAGUGCAUGUGGUGGAUGCCUUAGCGAUCACAGGCGAAAGAAAGACGUGGCAGCCUGCGAAAAGCUGCGGGGAGCUGGCAAACGAGCAUAGAUCGCAGAUAUCUGAAUGGGGAACCCAGCCCGAUAAGGGUUAUCGCAUGAUGAAUCCAUAGUCAUGCGAGGCGAACGAGGAGAACUGAAACAUCUAAAGUAUCCUCAGGAAAAGAAAUCAACCGAGAUUCCGGCAGUAGCGGCGAGCGAACCCGRAGARCCUAGUUUUGAUAGUUUGGAUAAUAGAAGAAUGAGAUGGAAAGCUCAGCCAAAGAAGGUGAUAGCCCUGUAUUUAAAAUUGUCCGAAUGGUACUAAGGAAACGAGUAAGGCAGGACACGAGGAAUCCUGUCUGAAGAAGGGGGACCAUCCUCAAGGCUAAAUACAGUGAUCGACCGAUAGUGAACCAGUACCGUGAGGGAAAGGGAAAAAAACCCCGGGGGGUGAAAUAGAACCUGAAACCGCAUGCAUACAAACAGUAGGAGCCUUUUUUGAGGUGACUGCGUACCUUUGCAUAAUGGGUCAGCGACUUACAUUCUGUGGCAAGGUUAACCARAUAGGAAGCCGAAGCGAAAGCAGUUCGAAUAGAGCGAAGAGUCGCAGGUGUAGACCCGAAACCAGAUGAGCUAUCCAUGGCCAGGUUGAAGGUGUGGUAACACACACUGGAGGACCGAACCGACUAGUGUUGCAAAAUUAGCGGAUGAGCUGUGGAUAGGGGUGAAAGGCCAAACAAAUCUGGAGAUAGCUGGUUCUCCCGAAAACUAUUGAGGAUAGUGGGUAGAGCACCGUUUUUGGCUAGGGGACAUGUAGUCUUACAAACCAAGGCAAACUCCGAAUACCUGGAAGCUAUACACGGGAGACAGAGCACCGGGUGCUAACGUCCGGACUCAAAGARAAAACAGACCGCCGGCUAGGUCCCCAAUAGCAGCUAAGUGGAAAACAGAAGUGGAAGGCCGUGACAACCAGGAAGUUGGCUUAGAAGCAGCCAUCCUUCAAAGAAAGCGUAAUAGCUCACUGGUCGAGUCUUUCUGCGCGGAAGAUGUAACGGGGCUAAGCUGCUAACCGAAGCCGCGGAUGCAUGGAUUAAUCCAUGCGUGGUAGGGGAGCGUUCUGUAAGUCUGAGAAGGCGGAUUGAAGUCUGCUGGAGAUAUCAGAAGUGCGAAUGCUGACAUGAGUAACGUUAAAGAGGGUGAAAAGCCCUCUCGCCGCAAAACCCAAGGUUUCCUGCUCUACGUUCAUCGGAGCAGGGUGAGUCRACUAAGGUCAGGCCGAAAGGCGUAGCCGAUGGGAACCAGGUUAAUAUUCCCGGACCGCUGUCAGAUGCGAAGGGGUGACGGAGGCUAAGGUCAUCCAGUGUUGGACUACUCGGUACUUAGACGAGGACGGUUGGCAGGCAAAUCCGCCAACGGAUCGUCCGGAUCGGAAGUGGUGCCCCCGGGGGGAAGUGAUUGAAAACYUUCCAGGAAAAAACCUCUAAGCUACAGUCUGACAGGACCGUACCGCAAACCGACACUGGUGGGCCGAGCUGAAUAUGCUCAGGCGCUUGAGAGAACUCGGGAGAAGGAACUCGGCAAAUUGACACCGUAACUUCGGAAGAAGGUGUGCCGCAGUAGCGUGAGAGGAGAAACACCUUGAGCGUGAGACGGUCUCAGAGAAUAGGUGGCUGCGACUGUUUAUUAAAACACAGCACUCUGCAAAGUCGAAAGACGACGUAUAGGGUGUGAUGCCUGCCAGUGCUGGAAGAUUAAUUGAUGGGCUGAGAGGCCUUGAUCGAAGUCCCAGUAAACGGCGGCCGUAACUAUAACGGUCCUAAGGUAGCGAAAAUUCCUUGUCGGGUAAGUUCCGACCUGCACGAAUGGCAUAACGAUGGCCACACUGUCUCCCCCGAGACUCAGUGAAGUUGAAGUGUUUGUGAUGAUGCAAUCUACCCGCGGCUAGACGGAAAGACCCCAUGAACCUUUACUGCAGCUUUGCAUUGAACUGUGAACCGAUUUGUGUAGGAUAGGUGGGAGACAGAGAAGAGGAGCGCCAGCUCCUCUGGAGUCAACAAUGAAAUACCACCCUGAUUUGUUUGCGGUUCUAACCAAGACAGAGCACACUGUUUGGGACCGUGCAUGGUAGGCAGUUUUACUGGGGCGGUGAAGAUAGAGCGACAGGCAAGUAGGUUAAAAGGUUACACAAACCCUGGACRA
rnacentral:misc_RNA from 1 species